rnacentral:lncRNA from 1 species
AGCAGGAUGUGUCGAUGGUGAAGAAUAUGAUGGAUGGUAUGACUAUCCAGCAUCACCACCCCAACCCACCCUUCCACUCCAACCGCCGCCACCAAAUGUCAACCAAACCCACCAACAUCUUUCCUUACACCCACCACUCCAAUUUCUCACACCCACUCCAAUAAUAACAACCUUUAUAAACCCAAAACACCCACCACACACACCACACCACACCCUCUUAUCAUGGCCACCCCAAACGACGCCGUUUCGCCCACCAAGAAGCCUCAACCCAUCCCCUGGACCCACCAAGAAACUGUCCACCUCAUCCGCGCCUACCAGGAGAAGUGGUACGCGCUCAAGCGCGGCCCGCUCCGCCACAACCAGUGGGAGGAGGUCGCCGUCAUCGUCGCCGCCCGCUGCGGCUACGACCUCGCGUAUCCCGCCAAGUCCGCCCUCCAGUGCCGCCACAAGAUGGAGAAGCUCCGCCAGCGCCACCGCGCCGAAAAGAAAAACGUCACCGCCACGCUCCGUCCCGCCGCCUGGCAGUACAACGCUCUCAUGGAGGACCUCGAAUGCGGCCCCCUCCCCAUCUCCGCCCUCGCCCCGUUCCGAAACGACACCGAUUCAGAUCCCGACGACGACGGCACUUAUAGGAACGGCAAUGAUGGCGAUGAGAGCUUUGUGAAGUCGAAGAGUAUUAACUGUACUCUCGGCGAGAGGCCCGUGAGAAUGAGAAACGGUGAAAGAGGGUUUUUGAGGGAGCGUUCUGAAGAAGAACGAGACGAGGUCGAAGAUCGCGACGACGACGUUUUGGCGUUGCCGGCGGAGAUGAGGGCUUUCGCUGAUAGGUUUAUUGGAAUGGAGAGUUUGAAGAUGGAGAUGAUGAAGGAAACUGGAAGGUGUAGGUUGGAAAUGGAGAAGAAGCGGAUCCAGAUGAUUGUGGACUCGCAGCGGAGGAUCGUUGAUUCCAUUGGGAGGGCGUUUGGGUCUAACAAGAGGGUCAAGAUUACUCAACAAAUCUGAAAAAGGUUUCAUUUCAUUUCAUUUUCCAUUUUUAAUUCAGUUUAACUUUUAUGUUUGAAUAUUCAUUAGUUCACACCCUUUUGCUUACUCAUUAGUCAGGUUAAACAUGCUUUUGGGGAAAAUGUUUACCUUUGGUCUUUUUGUGUAUGGAAAUGGAAAUGUGUUGGGAAUCCAAAAUGUGUAAGUUAGCACUGAACAAAGGACAAAGACCAAUAAACUUAUUCUCUUUAAGAUUUUGGUUUUGAGUCAGAGGUGGUUAUGUAAUGUGGUUUCAGUUAAAAAACUUUAAUGAAUCAGUGAUCAUUCUUUAUGUAAAAGUGAGCAAACUGACAAUCCAUGGCAGUUUGGGAUUGCUUGACAUGUAAAGGACUAUUACUAUGUUCGUAUAUGUAUUAUUUAUUAUGCAUUCCUAAGAUCAUGUUUAACCUUUUUAAUUGUAUUUUCUUGUUUGUUUUUUUGUUCACCUGGUUUAUGGAUUCAUGGUUACAUGUUUGAUCUGCCUGCAGAUUGUGAAAUCUAUAAUGAUCGAGAUAAGUUCUGAAUGGUUUCUACUAUGGAAGAGUCCACAGAACUAGUUGCAUAGCGUGCUGCUAGUUGUUUAUUUUAUUUAUUGUUGCAUUUGAAGUCUGUACUUCUCACAUUAAUGAGGGUAAGUUCAUUUUUUGGCAUAAGUUGAUUAUAAUGCAAGCGAUAUCUUUACAAUUAUAAUUCUUAGUUGAUUAUGGCUUUGUUGUGAAAAAAGCCAUUCAGAUGAAUGUUAACCUAGAAAGAAACAUACCAGAAAACAUUUUUAUCUUCUCUGUCAAAUAUUAUACGUCUUUAUUUCUCCACAAUGUUCCCAAUAGAUAUCAAUAUGUCUGUCUGGAACACAGGGCAUUGCUGGAGUGAUUUAUAUCUCUGUAACAAUUAAUUUCCUGGAAGUCAAGGUUAUUAGCAGUUUGAUUUUAUCUGGUACAUUUAUGUGCAUCUUGUGCUUAUAAUGCUGGAAAUGGUUAUUUUAGAGCCAAAGAUUGUGCUUGACUAGCUUGAUGGCUUCUGCCCCAGUUUCUUAAGACUAGGGGAUUCUGUUACUGGUUGAAGCCUCCAUAAUGAUUAAUUUUCUGGUUCAAGCCUUCACUAACCCACGUAUUUUCUUUUCCAUCGUAAUGGCUACUGCUUUCAAUUCUCUAAGAACCCCAGGGAAAAGUAGUUAUUGUGCAUUUGUCUAUAUAUCCACUUAUUAAUGAGGAAUUAUGAAAAUUUCCUCACUCAGUAGUAUCACACAUGCAUAAUGCUGGUCAUUUUACAAGACAAAUAGCGGCAUGACAACACUGAUGUUCUGUCUAAUUAGUUGUAAGGUGACACCAACUAUGAUCAAACUUUCCAGAUACCAAAGAAGUCUUCACAUUUUCAUCUUGCUAAUUUGAAAGAUCUGCUUCUCUUAGGGUCUUCGGAUUACCCUUCUGGCUGUUUCUUCUUGUAGGCAGUGGCCAUCUAACAAUCUAUUUCAUGUUUUUCAUUUUUAUGAUCUGUCUGGGGAUGACUUUUUUGACAACGUUGCAGUGAGUAGGAGACAAUCAUGCUUUAGCCUAUAUGUAAUUUGUGUUAAUGUGUUGAAAAUAGUACUUGUGUUGUAUGGUUUUCCAUGUAUCAUCAUGAAGUUGUCUCGAAUCAUCUCGAUUCUAAAGUUGAAAGAUGCUUGGAGCUUGGAUUAAUGACUUUCAAAGGAGAUCAGAUCUUGUUAAAAUUUAUGCAUUAAAGUGUUUACCUGGCUCUAAGAGUUAUAUCCAAGCUAAAUAUUUGUAAGGAAUUUCUCAAGCAGAUCGGCAAGAAAGAUACUUUUUUACUUACCUAUUAUUUAUUCGGCCUUAAACAGACUUCAUUUAAGGCAGAACAUUCUAAGGCCCGAUUUGUUAAGUCAAAUCUAUAUGAAUUGCAUAAAUCUUGAAACUUCUAAACCAUCUGGUCCACCUCGCCCAUUGGGAUUAAAAUGUGCUUUUAAAAAUAGUUGAACAAGUAUGAAAAUUUUGAAGAGGUUUAACCAAUUUUCGACAAUUUAUUGUUUCAACAUAUUAAAUUGGAGUUGUUAGAUGUAGGAGGUCUGUCUCCUAGUAGGAAUCCUGACUUUUCUAAGCUGUAGGUUCAUUGCACUAAUUGGGGAACGAGCAAAGAAUUGCAAUUUCCUACAUAAUUGUCUAUCAAGAUUGGAUUUUUUUUUUCCCAGAAAUAAACCCAAUUUAAAAAAAAAAAUCCCUAAUAGAUCCCGUAUUUUAUCUUCUAAAUUAAACAUGUUUACUUCGCAAGUUUAGAAUUUGGCUUGAUGAACCGAAUUCUGAAUUGUAUACUUUGGUUUUCAGCCUUGGAAAAAAUGUUGGUAUUCGGCUAUGUGGAUCCAAAUUUUGGUAUUGUCAUGAAAAUUGUUUUUCAUUAAUGUUAUUCCAAUUAUAAAUAAUGAUAGGACUAUUUAUAACAAUUAUUAUUCUUAAUUGCAAAAUAUUUUAUAAUCUCAAAUUAGAGAAAACAAAUUAAUUUAUAAAUUGUUUAAUUUAGUCUUAGAAAAUCAUAUCAAAAUAUUUAAGGAAACAAAUUAAUUUAUAUUUUGACAUAAAUCAAUGUAUGAAUUCAUAUUAAAAUAUUUAAGAAGAUAAAUUAAGUAUUGAUUAACAUCUUUCUUCAAAUUAAUUACAUUCUUUUAUUUUCUUAUGCGAGUCCUUCUUAUAUAGUUUUCUUUGAGAGAUGAUGUUACUUAGGAAAAGUUGAUCUUUUUGAGAGUAUAUGGCUUCUUGUACAAAGAUUUGUACUUUUUUUUUCGUUUUGGGAAGAACAACAUUGUUUUUACAAUGAGAGCUUGUAAGGUUAUGGCAGGACACAGUUUUAGAGAAACAUUUUAGAAUGUCUUCCUAUUUCAUGUCUUUAUGAUUCACGUGUAGUGUUUUUGAUUAGAUCUUGGUAUUGUGAAUAUCUACAUAAAUAAAGAGAGAAAAAGUAGAGUAGAUAAGGUAUAGUGCAUUCAUGCAUUUAAUGUUCUACACGUUGAUAGAGUGUGGAAGCAUGAUUUGUAAUAUAAGCGGUUAGCGCAAGUAUGUUCUUUUCAAAGUAGUAUCAAUUGAUAAGAUGUAUAUAGUGUUUACUAACUCUUUCACUAGACAUACUUUUGUCAAAUAUUGUUUAUCCUUUUAUAAUUGCUACAUCAUUGUUUAUCUUACAAGCGUUUAAUAAAGAUGUUCUGAUAUGCACUUUGCUUGGACAAUAUACUUCACUAAACGAUAUUUGGUUAAAUGUUAUUUGUUAAACUUUAAAACUCGAGUUAUUAGACAAUAUAGUCUCUUUAGACGAUCUGGUUUUAACACUUAUAAUAAUCGGAAAACUUCUUAUGACAAUUACAAGUGAUAUGACCAAAUUGUCUCCAAGAAAAGCAUUGGACUUGUAGCAUAUCAUGACCUUUACUUUUAUUGUGGGCAACAUAUGCAACCAAAGUAGGUUCAAAAAGAGUAGCAUCAUGAGUCAUGGAUUCUUGGGUAAGUAAACGUUGUUCUUCACAAGAAGUUCAUCAACACAUGCAUAUAAAGAUGGAACAAGACUCUUAUUUAAGAAAGAACUUUUGACAACCUCAAACUCGAAAAGAAGUUUCAUGAGAAACUAAUUGCGCUUACUAGUGUUGUAAACUUCUUGAAUUGCCAACUGUGGGGAACAUCAUGUUAGAAUGCAAACAAAGUCCCACAUUGAGUGAAAGAAGGACGGGUCAAGGGUUUAUAUACACAUAGAUAUCUCCAAUGGUAAGAGGCCUUUUGGAGUGGUACCAAAAAGCAAACCCGUGAGGGCUUGGCCCAAAGCGGACAAUGUCUUACCAUGUGUGGAGUUCUAUGUGUGUGUCGUACCUCCCCCCAACAGUGGUAUCAGAGCCCAUGGUUCGGGUCUGGUGACCGGGCUCAGACGAGUACGUCCCCCUAUGAUCAGGCGAGCCAGGCAGGAGGCCAAUGGCGCCGGAGGAAUCAUGCGAGGUGGGGAGAGCUAGAAAAGCUCAUUGUGACCAUGGAUCGUGAAAGAGGGCAAAUGAGAAAUGCUCUGUGUUGACCAUGGUGUACUCGAAUGAAAAAGACAAGACUUCCGCAGCGAGGGAGGAAGGUGACCAUAGUCCUUUGUUUGAGGGAGGAUGUUGGAAUGCAAACAAAGUCCCACAUUGAGUGAAAGAAGGACGGGUCAAGGGUUUAUAUAUACACAUAUGUGGAGUUCUAUCGUCUGAGCCCAGUCACCAGACCCGAACCAUGGGCUCUGAUACCACUAUUGGGGGAAGGUUCGACACACACAUAGAACUCCACACAUGGUAAGACAUUGUCCGCUUUGGGCCAAGCCCUCACGGGUUUGCUUUUGGUACCACUCCAAAAGGCCUCUUACCAUUGGAGAUAUCUAUGUGUAUAUAAACCCUUGACUAGUCCUUCUUUCACUCAAUGUGGGACUUUCUUUGCACUCCAACACAUCAACAUAUAAAAUGGUAGUGUUUUGUCCGCAAAUUCAGAAAACUAUAAUAAUACUCUUGAAUAGACAAGUUACCUUGGGUGUAUUUGGCUAUCUUCCAUUCCAACUGAAAACACUUAGUGGUAUUGUCUUUGAUGUAAAUGUGCUUCAAAUAAUUUCAUAUUUGUUAAGCAGUUGUACAAGAGCGCAAAUUAUUGAUUAUUUGGGGAUCAAUAGUGCUAAGCAUUCAAGAAACAAUUUGAGCAUCUUGUUGGGUCUGAUACCAUCUGUUGAGAAAAACGGUGAUCCACAUAAAUAAUUUUACUCUUCAAUCCAUUGUGGGUGAUUUUUCAUUAAACCAUAACAACCUUUAAAUAUGUGCUAAUCGGGCCUCGGGCCAAAUACAAAUAAUAAAAACUGACAAUAAAAUAUCAACUUUCUUAAAAAAAUAAAAUUUGUUUAUUCUAUCAUAAAAUAAUAUUCUACCUAAAUAAAUAAAAAAUCAUAACUACCAAUCCUUAUUUUAUCUCUAUCAAAUCAAACCAAAUAUUACUAUACCCAAAUAUAAUAAAAUAAUAAAUCUCUAAAAUUUAAGUUUAUCCCAACACAUCUUUCACCUCACAUGUAACGAAGGUAGCUUCCUCCUUGGGUGAAGCAUUAUUCCAUACAAAAGUUACCUCAUAAUCCUUUCCCUUUGACAUACAUCUUGAAUUGGAAUUCCCAAACAAAAUAAUUCUUGUCAAUAAAUUGAACUCAAGAAUUGUUUUUCUUUGGGUAGUCAUGGUGAUUGUCAAAAGAACGAACAACAACAUUGUUAGAGCAAAAAGUAAGAAGUCUGAAAUUACAAACAAAGCGAUGGAUGGGAACCACGAACCAAGACAAUGAACUAGGAUCGUGAAGAAGAAUGAUGAGCGAGGCCAUGAAAGGCACACAACCAAGAACAAGAACUACGAAACUAAUAAAGCCUCAAAUAAGAAUGAGAAAAAAAAAUGGUGGAUAGUGCUCUGAUUGAUACCAUGUCAUGAAAAACAGAUUGAUGCCUUUCACUAUUUCUAUUCUUGUUGUAAAUAAUGUUAAGAAUAUUUAUAAUAAUUAUUACUCAUAAUUAUAAAAUAUCUUAUAAUAGAAAAUAACAAAAAUUAAAGAUAUAUAAUAGAAACUGUAACUUAAUUUUUCUCCGUACCUUGUUAUGAAUUGUUGUUGAGACUCUUGUGGAGGAGUGCCAUGUUGUUUAUAUUUUUAUAUGGUUUGAUAAUCUAUCUUUAAAUUUUUUAGAUUUGAUUUAGUCUUGUGAAACUAUGUAACUUGUUGGUUGCAUGAUGUGAAUAUCUGUAUUCUCUUUUGAAGAGCUUUUUGCUAUAGUUGUGUAAAAUAUGAUUAGAUUAUGAUUUUGUUUUGUAUGUUUUUUUAAUACGUAGAGAAGUUUGUUGUGAUGUUGUAAGAGAAACUAAUCAAAUCAUAUUUUUAUGUGGGUAUAUGUCGUUUUGUGAUUUUCUUUUGAUUUGUUUGCAAUUGUUGUUAUUAUAAUAUUAUGAAAAAUUUAUGUGCUUAGGAUUUAUGUAACUUUAUUGGGAUUUAUGAAAAAUGAUUUUAAUAGGAUGAAUUUAUAUGUGAGACGGAGGUUGAGGUAAAUUAAAAUUGGGGGUUGCUCCCUCCACCUCUCCAAAACCUUUCUAUAUCUCCACACUACUCUUUUUAUUCCAAAAAUACCUUACAAUAAUUUAACUUUAUUUACUUUUUUUAAAAUCUUAAAUCUCCUUACAUCCCCUCACCUGCCACGUCAGCUUCAGCUUCCCCUUGUGCACAUAAACUCUAAUUCCAUCACCACCAACCUUGCCGUUGUCACCAACCUUGCCGUUGCCAAACCAUAUCUCCACCACCAUCAACCUCGCCGCGAGCCUCCAUUGCCACCACAAUCAGAACCACAAAUCGUCGUCAUCUUCAACCAUCACCGUGAAUCCUAAUUGCUCCCGUGACCUAAUUGCUCCCGUGACGGUCAGGAUUGAAGAGAGGAAGGUCGAGGUCGGAAGUCGUUUUCGCCGUUGAAGAGUGUCGCAGCGCUAGAAAGUCACCAAAAUUAAGAGGUCACCAGAGAAAGAGGAGAGACCACUAAAUCUGACGCUGAUGACAAAGGAGAUUGAGGAGGAUUAGGAGGACACCCUUCUCCUGGUUAAUGGUUCGAAGGUUGGAGCCGUUUGCUACUGGUGUAUCUUAAUAUACUUUAAUUUUUCCGGUGCACUCUCCAUUCUUAACAAAUGCCGACGUCCGUUUGUUCCAUUGAAAUUCGUGCACGGAUGUCAAAAGAAUCUAACUCAUGUUAAUAUUCGUUUAACUGAAGGGUAAAAUUAGAAUGAGGAGGUGGAGGGAGUAGAGUGUGGAGGUGGAGGGAGUAAGUCCCAUUAAAAUUUUAAGAUGUUGAUUUUUAUAUAUAAAAGGAAACUGGAUAUUAAAUAAAGGUCUUAAAGUAAAAUUUCGAUAAAUAAAUUAGUGUUUAAGCAUGUUAAUGAUUUUAUAAAAAAUAAUUUAAUUUGGUGAAUAUACUAGGAUUAUGAGUUAACAAGUUUACGAGUUUUCUUACUUGCAUGUGAUUGUAAUUUUCACAAUAGUGCUUAGUGAAUUUAUUUUAUUAGCUAUGGUAGUUGAAAAACUGGUUGUGUGGGUAUUUCACUUAAUGUUAUAUGUUGGUAUUACAUUAAAUUUGAGGUUUUUAUGAACAAUGUCAUAGCACACAAUCAAAUUUUAAAUUUGCAACGAUUUUUGUUUUAAGUGUUUCUAAAAUAUUUGUAAAAAUGUUUUCUUAAAUUAUAGGUUGUUGCAUUAAUAUUUAUGUGUGGGAAAUGUUUUCUAGAAUUAAGGAUUUUGGAUUUACUUCCUUUAUUUUAAUUUUUUUUAUCACAAUAAUAAAAAAACAGUAUUAAUAGGUCUCGGAUUAAGAGAAACCGAGACCUAUAUAAACGUUGUGGCAUUUUGGUAGUUUCGUGGAACUUAUAUGCUUCUGUUUUGCUGGAACUGGUGUCAAAAGGCUUUUCUACCUCGACUAAACUCAUAACCGAUGUCUAAAGUUCCUCUAGAAUUGACCUUUUUGCCUGACAGGAUUUUGAACAUGAUUUAUUGCCACAGUUAACUUAGAACCGAGGCGUAUAACUAACCUUCUGCUUCGGCUAUGCAGGGAACUGAUGCACUAUCUUCUGCAAACCUCUGACAUGUCUGAUCAUUGAAGUUUCCAAUUAUAUUUUUUCAAACCCUACGACACCGGUUGGUACAGAACCGAAGCGUAUAGUCUUUUCAGAUUUUUUAUUCUUUUUUUUUUUGGGAAUAGGCAUCGGGUGCUCUGUUUAACCGAGACAUAUAAUCCUUUACUGCCUCAAGUAAAGGUAUAACCGAGGUAUUAUGGUUUUAAUUACCUAGGGUUAAAAAUUUUAUCUUACGAAACUCGCAGUUUUGGAACUUCCUCUCGCAACCUUCCUUGACACAACCUUCCUUGGCUCUUCUUCCCUAGCGAUGACAAAACUUUUCUCUAAUUGGUGCUUCUCGCAUUCUUCACGUCCAAGGUGCGUCCCGCAUUGGUGCUUCUCGCGUUCAUCUUUCUCGUGUUGGUGCCUCAAUAUUUGACUCGUCGACGCCGCCGCUACACAGCCCUUGUCGCACCGCCCUUGUCACACCGCCCCCACUGCACCAUCCCCACUGCUCCAUCCCCGUUGCUCCGCCCCUGCUGCACCGCUUCCUUUGGUCGUGUUGCUCUCGCGUUCAUCUUUCUCUUUGCAACGACUUCUUCUCCUUCAAGGUAAGUAUUUUGAAAAAUCUUCCAACUUUAUAGAUGAGUGUAGCAGAGAAAUUCUCGAUUGUUACCACUGAUGUUAUUAUGGUGUGCUCUAGGAUAUCAUAACAAAGAGAAGAAAUAACUUGUUUCAUGAAAAUAAAAUGUUAUCAGUGAUGUUAUAUGUGUUAAGAAAAUAAGCAAUGCUUUUUAACGUGAUGUGUUGAAAGAUGGAAGAAGGUAACAGAAUAAAAGAAUGAAAGGAAAAGGAAAAAUCUAGAUGAAGAAGAAGUGGAAAGUGGGUCUGCGAAGAGUGGAUGUACAAAAUAAAGAAUUGGAGAAAUUAAAGAAUUAAAAGGAAAAGGAAUGAUCUAGAUGAUGAAGAAGUGGAAAGUGGGCUUGGAAAGAGUGGAUGUACAAUUCUUUAAAAAAUAAAGGUUUAAUACUGAUGGGUUGUCGCAGCCCAAUCAAAUUUGAUUGCAUAUGAGAAAUGCAGUAUAGCUAGGGAAUGACCCCUAGGUCGUCUCUCAAGGACCAAAAGUGGUUCGAGUCUUAGGUCUAACACGAAGUGGGGGGUUUGUGAAAGGUUGUUUGUGGCGAAUGCGGAAAUUUUGAAAUGAAAUUAAAACAGUAAAAACGAAAAUUCACGCUGGAACUAGGCAGCUCUGACCUUUGCUCAAUGUUUUAACCAUAACUUUUUCUACAGAGCUCUAAAUGACAUGAGGUUUUUUUUUUUCUGGAAAGUAGACUCAAUUAUCUUUAAUUUGAUAUAUAAAACGUAGCAUUUGGAGCUCUGGUCUGGUUGCAGUUAUUUUUUUAAAUUCGAGUCCAGAGUAAAAAUGCUAAACCAAAUACUAGACUAAACAAAUAUCUAAACACAAUUAAAAUUAAAUUAAAUGCAAAACUAAAUUAAAGAAAUUAAGAACAACUAAUCCUAAAAUGCAAAAUAAUUUAAAGCUAAGGAAAAUAAGCAACAUAAAGUGUAAAGUUCUUGGACCAAUAAAAAUUGCAACGGUUGAAAAAUGGAAACGAAUUUAAAACAUUAGAUGCAUUUAAAGGAAUUUGGCUGCAAGAGUUUAAUCAAAGUAAAAUAAAAUAUAGAAAAACNUUUGCAAGCUAUUGAAACCAAACAUUUUAACAAGAAAUGAAAUGAAAGGCACAAGUCAACUAACAUUCAUUACGCAUCAGUUCUCAAAAUAAAUAUUUAAAUCAAAAUUGCUGAAAGUAAACAUUGAAAACAUUAAUUUAAAGCAUUUAAAAAUUCCUUAUCCUAGGACAUAAAACCAUUGCAGCUGCUUCCUAAUUGACGUCGCAUUCCAUCUUCCUCUAGUCCGUGUGCUUUCUUCAAUCCCUAAAAAUUCCUCUCAAUGCAUGUGGCGGCUGUUUCUCCUGAGUCAAUGUAACAGUAUCCACUUUUAAAGGUGAAUCAGUUCCUCUAAAAUAUGCCCUACCUCCCAUACAUUGCCCAUGCCUUGCUGGACAAUUUUUUUAAACUCUUCCGCAAUAAGCCCAUAAUAAAUGUCCACGUGUUUCAUUUCCAGCAUUCAAUCAGCCUUUCUUUGUUUUCUCUCGUGCAAUGCAUGAUGUGGAUGGAUGGGAGCUGGUUACGUGGGCUUGCUGUAGCGUGGUAUCUCCCCACUGCUGGACUAGAUCCUUGAGAAGCAUCUUUUUAUCCUCCUCCACGCUGCAGCUGUGGAAGCACCACUUACGUGAAUCAGCCCAAUUCAAAUCAUGUGCUGGACCCAAAACCCAAGCUGCUAGAUGCUUCACUUCUUGGACGUGAGAUUGGUUGCUGGACCGAGAUGCUGCUGCACCUCUUUUCAAUUAAAUUCAGCCCUUGCAUUUUAAAUGGAAUCAGAUUGUGGCAAUAUAAAAUCCCAGCAUCCGAUUGCACCCCCCAAAAUUGAAGUCCACACCUCUUUUUACUUUAGCUUAAAAUAUAAUUGAUGUGGCAUUUUUUCUUUAAGUCUCAAAAUUUUAUCCAACAAUUUCCCUACAAAUAAUAAUGCAAAUAAUUAGUCCAGAAAAUUCAAAUUAAUUAAAAUUAGAAUUUCCGGUCAAAUUAAGCACAAUUAGCAGAAACGGGAAAAUACCGGACAUUUAAGCACGAUUCCCUGAUUAAAUUCGGUACAAUAAACUAAGUGCAGUCAAUAAAAUAUCGACUCAUCAAAAUAGACCACACUUAGUCUUUUGCACUCCUGGGCAAAAUCAAGACGUAAAACAGGGAAUAGUUCAAUGGACAUCAGAGAAUUGACACAGACUCAGCAGACAGACAACAGAGACUGACAAGGAAAGAAACAGAGUUACACAAUCCUCAAGAAAUCUGGACAAAGAAAGGAAGUAGACAGUAUCCAACACAGAAUCAGAGACAGCAGAUACUCAGAGAAAUCAUCCAAGCAAUUCAAAGCAUGGCAAAAUGAUCAAUCAGCUCAAGAGGUGAAUCAAAAGCAACAGAACCUCACAGUUGCACACAAUCAGUGUUUCUCUCAAGUGUUUAAGGUAAAUUAAUGUCAACUCAAUGUACUCAAGAAAGCAAGCAACAAACAGUCUUGGCAAGCCUCUAAUAUUAGCACUCAAAACAUAUGCAUGUUCAAAUCAAAAGGUCUUUUAUGAAUGUAAUGGGGCCAAGGACAAGGGAGGAUAAAUGUGGAUAAGAAGCUACAAACCAAAAGAAAUAGAGGAGCAAUGGGGAACAAGUGUAAACACAGUCAAAUCACACCCAAAACCUCUAAUUCAGUCCUCUUCUUGACUCCAUUAUUCACACAAUUUUUUUAUUUUUCCUCACUUUUCUGCAUUUUUUUUUCUUUGUUUUUUUUUUCAUCUUGUCUCUUUUCUUUUCUCUCUUUUCAGAACACAANNNNNNNNNNNNNNNNNNNNNNNNNNNNNNNNNNNNNNNNNNNNNNNNNNNNNNNNNNNNNNNNNNNNNNNNNNNNNNNNNNNNNNNNNNNNNNNNNNNNNNNNNNNNNNNNNNNNNNNNNNNNNNNNNNNNNNNNNNNNNNNNNNNNNNNNNNNNNNNNNNNNNNNNNNNNNNNNNNNNNNNNNNNNNNNNNNNNNNNNNNNNNNNNNNNNNNNNNNNNNNNNNNNNNNNNNNNNNNNNNNNNNNNNNNNNNNNNNNNNNNNNNNNNNNNNNNNNNNNNNNNNNNNNNNNNNNNNNNNNNNNNNNNNNNNNNNNNNNNNNNNNNNNNNNNNNNNNNNNNNNNNNNNNNNNNNNNAGAGACAUAUCACACACAAGAAAGAUCAUCAAAUGGCUCAAAUCUCACACAGGUAAUUUCUGUUACAAUCAAUCACUCUCAAACAUCAUAAUCAUCAUUCCAAGCAAAGAAAAGCAAGGAAUCCAACAAAUCAGAGUAUCAAUUAAGUGAAAGACAAGUCUACAACCUAAACAAAGUCCAGAAAUCAAGAGAAACAUGCAAAACUGUACACAAGAUACAACAAAAACUACCUAGAAAACAAAAAAUUUAACGCAGAAAAACAAAAACUGACAAAGAAAAUAGAAUUCUCCCCCAAUAGACCACACUUAAACUACAUAGUGUCCUCAAUGUGUCACAAUCAUCAGAUCACAAUCAUAAUAGUCAACAAACCAAGGACAAGGGCAAUAAAAGUAAGGAAAGAGGGAGAAGAGAAAAGAAGAAACUCCCCUGAUCAAGGUGGCAGUUGCCAAUUUUGGACUUUCAGGGAGAUAUUCUCCACCAUUGGAGUCAGCAAAGAAGUCUUGAGGAGGAACUGCUUCAGUCUCCAUAUUUGAUCAAGCAGGGAGAUGUCCUCCACAGCUGGAUCUAAGAAGCAGUGAUUGAUGAACAACUUCACUUAAGUCCUACCUUUCGCAAAAACUGUUCAAAGUGGUCCUUUUUGGUUACGGCGUUAGUUUCACUAACGGCAGACCUGCCAGGUGUCUAACAUGUGCUGAUGUGGCAUUGUAAUGUGUUUUAAAAAAAAAUAUUGUGACGUGUAAAUGAAUGUUGUUAGGGUUAAAUUAAAAAACGAAUUAGGGUUAUAUUAGAAAAUGAAUUAGGGAUUUGCGUUGCUGAUUGGGAAAAUCUGGGGUAAAAUUAGGUGAGAAAAAAUUUGAUCAGAAAAAUCUUUGGGGUAAAAUCUGGGGAACUUAGGGUUGAUACCUCCAAUCCAUCCUCUUCAUCCAUCAGCGCGCUACGAAUUUUGGGUUCUUCAUCAGGCGUCGUGGUUCGUCAAGGAUCUUCUUUCAUUCAUCAUCGUUGAGGUUAGUUGUCAUCUUAAGUGGAGUCUUUGUUUUGUUGAUGCUUAAAAUAUGAUUAUGUUUGUCGUAUUGAUGAUUAAAAUAUGAUUGUUUUUGUCGUCUUCCAUGCUUAAAAUAUCUGUUUAUUCGUCAGUUUCGUUGUUGAAUGGGGUCCCCUGUUGGGUGUUAAAUUGGUCCCCUGUUGGGUGUUAAAUUGGUCUCAUGGUGUUAAUUUAUGAAAGUGGUCCCCCUUUUCAUUUGCAGGGUAGGUUUAGGAUGUCUGACGAUAGGUUUAAGUCGUGGUCCACCACGGUGGGACCUUGAUAAAGGACGUGUGUCCCUUUAAGUAUAUAGGUGGGCAUAUAUCUUCUUGGGACAUUGACCCCGACGUAUGAAGCUAUUUUGGAGUAGUUGCUUCAAUUAAAGAAAUGGGUUACAUGGAAGUAGAAGAGUUAGUUUACAGCAUUGAAAAUAUUUUACAUGGGCUAUAUGACGAUAAUGGAGCUAUGAAUAUGAUGCAAGUAGCUAAAUGUUUGGGGAAAGUGGACUUAUUUGUUGUGCAUAAAGUUAGCGAACCAGAGGUUGUGGAAAAUGAGAAUGAGAAUGAAAUUCUUUACCUUUGCGAAGGGCCUGCAGAGAGUGGUGAGGGUAGUGGGUUUGAGGCUGCUGCAGAAGAAAAUAGGGAGGAAGAUGGUGCAGUUGAUGUUCAUGAAGUUGGUGCAGUUGAUGUUCAUGAAGUGGGUGCAGUUGAUGUUCAUGAAGUGGGUGCAGUGGAGGUUGAUGAAGUGGAGGUGGAGGUGGAGGCAGUUGAGGAAGUGGAGGUGGAGGCAGUGGAGGUGGAGUCAGUUGAGGAAGUGGAGGUGGAGGCAGUGGAGGAAGUGGAGGUGGAGUCAGUUGAGGUGGAGUCAGUUGAGGAGGCGGUGGAGGCGGAGGAAGUAGAAGUGGAAUCUUUGGAUGAAGGACAAAAUAGUAGUGAGGAAGAAGUGCAAGUGGAUUCUUUGGAACAUUUUGAUGAAGUGCAAAAUAGUAGUGAUGAAGAUUACAUGGUGGAAGAUAUUGGAAGGGGGUUAUCUGAUGAUGAUUCGGAGUUAGAACAGCUGUUAACUCCAGAAAAUAGUGGUAGUGAGGAGGAUGACAAUGCAGACAAACCAAGUCGAUGUCCGUUUCCUACAUUUGGAAAGAAAAAGUCAAUGGUAGAUUACAAAUGGGAAGUUGGUACUAUUUUGAAUGAUAAGGAGGAUUUUAAGGAAGCAAUUAGAAACUAUGUUAUUCAUACUGGGAGGGAUCUUAAGUUUGUAAAGAAUGAUAAACGUAGGGUUCAGGUGAGAUGCAUGGGUGCGCAAAAAAAGUGCCCAUGGGUAGCUUACUUAGGAUAUUUGCCAUCAAGAAAGAUUUGGCAGUUAAGGAAGAUUGUUGAUACCCAUGGUUGUAGUAGACAACUAAACAUUAAAAUGAUGAAUAGUAAGUGGUUGAGACAGGAAGUAGAUAAGGUGUUGCAUGAUAAUCCAACUAUAAAGAUACAAGAUAUACGUAAUAAAGCACUAAGGAAAUGGAACACCAAGGUAUCAAUUUCCAAGAAGGGCUAAGUUAAUGGCUACAAAUGAACGUGAAGGAGAUUUUAAAGAGCAAUUUAGAAGGCUUCAUGACUACGAGCAUGAGGUGUUGAGAAGUAACCCAGGGUCAACUGUUAAAAUUAAAGUGAAUAGUGAUAAUGGUGAGACCAUCUUUAAAAGAAUUUACGUAUGUCUGAACGCAUGUAAGAAGAGUUUUGUAAGUUGCAGGCCAAUCUUUUUGGAUGGCUGUUUUUUGAAAGGUCUAUAUAAGGGAAAGUUGCUUACAGCAGUUGGUAGGGACCCAAAUGACCAAAUGCUUCCCAUAGCAUAUGCAGUAGUUGAAGUUGAAAAUAAAGAUAGUUGGAGUUGGUUUUUGCAAUUAUUGAUUGAAGACCUUGGUGGUAAUGAAAUAUGUCGAGCAUGCACGUGGAUGUCUGACCAAUAAAAGGUACAUGCACUACUUACAAUAUUUGGUUUUCUUCUUUUUACUUUAUGCUUUAUGUAUAAUUGGUUAAAAUAUUAGUAUUGUCAGGGGUUGGUAUAUGCUAUUGAAGAGCUUUUGCCUAAGGCAGAACAAAGAUUCUGCAUCAGGCAUCUUUAUGCUAACUUCAGGAAGCAGUUUAGUGGUCAAAUAUUGAAGAAUUUGAUGUGGAGUGCUGCAACAAGCACGUACCCCCAGGCUUGGGAGAGAGAGAUGCUGAAUAUGAGAGCAGUGAAUGAGGAAGCUUAUAAAUACCUCAUAGUUAUUUCCCCAAGGUACGUAUGAUAAAUACCUUAUAUGCUGUCACAUGCAGAUUUCAAUAUGAUAAAUUCCUUCUUCUGGUUCAGGUUUUGGUCAAGAUUUAGAUUCACAGCUCAAGCAAGUUGUGAUAGUCUAGAUAACAACAUCAGUGAAGGUUUCAACAGUGUCCUUAUUCAUGCUAGAGGAAAACCAAUAAUCACAUUGCUGGAAGAUAUCAGACUGUAUUUGAUGAAAAGGUGGGCCACCAACAGAAUGAAGGUGGCAUGUAUGGAUUUCAAUGUUUGUCCAAAGAUCAAGAAGAAACUAUCAAAGGAAUGUCAACUGUCUAGAUAUUGGAUUCCAAGGUAAUAUUCUUCUUCUGUCUUAUUUAUGUUAAUAUCCAAAUUUUGAUCAUAGUUAUUUAUGUUUAUUUGUUUCAGCUGGUCUGCAAGAAGGAUUUUUGAGGUUAGGCAUGUUUCAGCUGUUGGGAACAAGUUCACAGUGGACCUGGAUACUCAUGAAUGUAGCUGCAGGAAGUGGAUGAUCAGUGGCAUCCCAUGUUGCCAUGUAGUAGCAGCGAUGCACUACAUAAAUUUAGACCCAAACAAUUUUAUACCAACUUGGUUCUUGAAAUCCACAUACGAAGAGUGUUAUGCAUCCAUCAUUUAUCCUGUGAAUGGCCACCUCCUAUGGGAAAAUACAAGCUUCCCUGAUAUACUGCCACUAGUUAAGAGGAAGAUGCUUGGGAGGCCAAAGAAGAAAAGAAGAUUGGAGCCAUGGGAGCUAACCAAGGAUGGGACCCAGAUGAGUGUUGGUGGGCAUAGAAAUAAAUGUAGCAUCUAUCGUCAAUUGGGACACAACAAAAAAAUAUGCCCUUUACGUCCACCCAUCAUAGAACCAACAGAACCAGUAAGUGACCAACCUCCUCAGCCACAAGAACCACCAAGUGACCAACCUACUCAGCCACAAGAACCAGGAAGUGACCAAUCUCCUCAGCCACCACUACCAACACAAGAUUCCAUCACAGAACCAACUCUAGCAAUAGCAAGGAAAAAGUUAACUAUUAGAAGAAAAGUAGCAUAGAUUGAACUCCAUCAGUUUAUUGAUAUUGUGUAGGACAGUAGCGAAGUUGUUAUGUAUGUUAUUUGAAUUUAGACAUGUUAUCUUUCAUAUUUGAGUUUAGACAUGUUAUGUAUGAAUUUGGUGAUAUUGUGUAUGGCAGUAUCUUUGUUUGAAUUUAAAAAUGUUUGACUGGAUGUACUGAUAUUAUGUGUCUCCACUGUUGUUUGAAUGUUUGUUUAGGUUUAGGUUUCCUUACCAUGCACUGGUAUUAUGUUGUAUUAAGGGACCAUUUUGCACAAUUUUGUACUAAAAGGGGGACCAAAAUGAACAAUUUUAACCCAAAGUGAAGACCACAAUGCACAGUUUUAAACCAAACUGAGGACUACUACGAAUUUCAUUGUACUAACCUAGAUGGUUCACUGAUAUUACAACAACUCAUAACACACAAACACAACAUUGAUUGCAAAUUGCCCACCUAACAUCAACCUAAAGGCAGUCAAAAUAUUACAACAUCAACUCAAAAUACAUGAACACAACAUAAAUUGCACAUUGGUCACCUAACAUCAACCUAAACACAGCCCCAAUAUGAUGAUGUUAAGCACAAUAAGAACAACCCCAACUCCAACUACGAACUUCAUCUUUCUCUGCAACUCUUUCACAGUACUUUCCAUAUCAGUGGUCCUCUUGUUGCUUUGUCUCACAUUUGUACCAUUUCUAUCAUCAGCGUUCUCUUCACCAAACCACUUGAAAAAGUUACAUGACAUCCCACUUGUAAAUGCACUCUAUUAUUCACAAAAAACACAAAAAACUGUUAACAUAGGAAAUCAAUUUAAUAUAAAAGUCACUUUGCUAUUCAAAAAAACCUUAUAAUGACGAGAUGCCCAAAAUUGCCUCCCAGCAUUCCUUGCAGUUUUCGCAACUUUCAGUACAGCAAAAUCACCACAGUGGCAAAUAGGGGUUAUCACAACACCCCUCGAAACAGCCCCCUGUGAUGAAUGCGAAGCUCCUUUGCCCGUUGUCUUCGAACAAGAACAACCACUUUGUGAAGAAGCCAUUCCAAACCCUAACCUUUUAACUUUCCAAAACUCUGGAGCAAAUAACCACAAACCCUAACCAUUGCUUUUAAACUUGGGAACAAUAACCAUCAAUCACUGUAACAGGAUAAUGUACUUAAUUACACACCAAAAAUUACCCCUAAUUAUUUUUUUAAUCCAACCCUAAUUAUAUUCAUUUACACGUCAUCAUUAUAUAUUUCUUUUAAAACAAAUUACAAUGCCACAUCAUCAAACAUUACACACCUGGCAGGUCUGCCGUUAGUGAACUUAACGUCGUUACCAAAAAGGACCAACUUGAAUAGUUUUUGCGAAAGGUAGGACUUAAGUGAACUUUUGAAAAAAGGAGGGACCACUUUGAACAGUUUUUGCAAAAGGUAGGACUUAAGUGAACUUUUGAAAAAAGGAGGGACCACUUUGAACAAACCCUCCCAAAGGAGGGACCAAAAAUAGGUAUUAAACCAAAAAUAAAUUAUAGACAUGCUGAAAGAAACAAGGCUUCGGCCACACAAAAAUAGAUUUAUUAGAUGCUUUUGUGGGAAAGAUAACUCAAACUUUUAAACAUUUGAUUUGAUCCACGGUCAAACCAGUUGUGCCCUAUUCCAAUUUUGUAAAUAUCAAAGUGUAUGAGUUUUUCAUUUCCCACACUUUGCAUGCAAUGCUAUAAGUCAACCAAAAUGCUAAGAAAAGCUACAAUUUUACAUAUUGAAACUCACAAAAGUUACUAUUCUUCAUAAAAAUGUUUUUAUUCAAAGACCACAUUUUCAGUGUAAUUUAAUGAUCUUCUUUUUAAACUUUUAUAUAUAUAUAUUUAUUAUGAGAGAGAAAUAUAUAAUUAAAUAGUAUUAAUUUUAAUUUUACAUUAUUUUUUGUAAUAUUUUUGUUCAAACUAUAACUUUUAAUUUAAAUUUAAAGUAACAUAAAUUAAUUUUAUUACAUCAAAAUAAAAUCACUUAGAAAAAAUGCCAACAUGAUAUAAACAAGUGUGAUAGAGAAACAUAAAGAGUAUCUAAACAGGAAAAAAAAGUGGUGUGAAUGGGAUUCGUGUUAUUAUAUUUUAAAUAAAAAAAAUUAAUGUUUUAACGAUUUUUUUAUAUAGAAUUGAUUAAUAAAGAUAUAACUUUAAGGUUAAAAAUCAUGAAACUAAUUAAUGUGUUGUUUGUUUUUGUCUAGAUAUUGUAUUUUUGUGGUGAGGUUUUCUAUGUUGACAUUCUCGAUAGUUGAUCGACUUUCACGCUUCCAGGUUUCUAUUUUUAAUAUUUUCCUUUUAAUAUGAACAUGAAAUAAAUUUGAUGAUAUCUAGUCAUACAUCACCACCUGCUUUGCAAUGGGGAAGGAGAUAUACUUUCUCCCUUAUAUAUAUGGGUAAGUGAAGCUUGUUAACUUUAAAGUUUCAUUUAUUAAUUUUGGUAUAUGACAAUUAAGUUAUUAUCAAUUUCAGGCGUCAUUGGUAGCUACUCGUGAUCUCCAUACCGGAGAACACUACUGUCUGGUUUUGUUCUUUGCACAAGUCUCCUCUCACCCUCUUAAACAUGUAGUAGAUUGGUAAGAACCUCAAUGUUUCAACUUUCUUUGUUAUAUAAAUGUAUGCUAAAGCAAUUUUUAUUAAUAGUUCCCUUGCAACACAUGUGAUAUUAUCUGGGAGAUCUACUACUACAGCUAAAAAGCACUCAUGGGUUCCCCCUUAAGGUUUGGUAUUUUAGUCCAUACUUUGUUACAUUUUGUACCAUUCCAAUGAUGCUACAUACAAUUUUAUAAUUAUGAUGUUAUAUCGUAGUGUAAUAGACAAACGAGGUCAUAUGAAUGUGGUUACUACGUCAUGUUUUGGAUGAUGACCACUAUUCGUGCACGUUACACUAGUGGAUGGGAAACAAUAAUAUUUAGGUUUGAAAUUUAUUUUCUCUAUAGUUUAGAUUUCAUAUGCACUAUUGAAAUCAUUGUGUUUUAUGCAGAAAUUCAACAUGACUGCUCCAAUUCCAGAGAAGGCACUUAAACUCGUGAGGAAAGCACUGGCUAAAUAUGUAAUUCAAUUAUAUAAUAGUAUGUAGUACAUAUUAAGAUAUAGUAAGUUCUAAGUUUAUGCUUCUAAGUUGUUGUAUGCUUUUGUACAUCAUUAGUAGUUUAACUUUGUACAUUGGAUUGAUUUAUGAUUACAUUGGAUUGAUUUAUGCUUCCAAGAAGUUGAUUUUUUAUUACAUUAAAUGUAUGCGUGUUUUAAUAUAAUUUUCAUUCAAAAUAUAUGCUUAUGGAUUAUUUUGGACUGUUCUGGCUGUAAAAUUAUAUGCAGGUCUGCUUCUGCAGUUGGGAAUAAUGCAGAAACAGACCUGUUCUUAAAAAAAAAAAUAGGGGAAUAUGCACUGGUUCAUGCCAUAGCCGAGGCAGAAAGUAACCCGAUGGCACUGGUUCAUGCGACAACCGAGGCAGAAAGUAACCCUAUGACACUUGUUCAGUCGUCAACCGAGGCAUAAAGGCUGGCUAUAGAAGAAAAAAAAGGGACCUUAUUGCCUCGGUUGGAGCUUGAACUGAGGCAGUAGAGUCGGAGAAACGACCACGGUUCACCAAGGAACCGAGGCAUAAAGUCUAGCAAAAAAAAAUAUUUAAAAAAUAAAAUAUGUUACUACUUCGGUUAAUUUUGAACCGAGGCAAAAUCUUGUCAUUUUAUGCCUCGGUUCUGAACCGAGACAUAAAGUCUACCACUUUUUACCUCGCCUGAAUAUGCCUCAGUUCAGGAACCGAUGCCUAUUAGCAAAACUAACCGGUGUCGUAUCCCCUGACUGCAGUAAUAUUGAUAUGCGGUUAUAACAUGUACGAAGUGCUUUAAUAAUAUUUAGAUACUUUUUUUUGGAGAUAAACAUUUAUUUGAUGAAUUUUGAAUUCAAUGUAGUUCAUAAAUAGUUUAUAAAAGUUGAAUAUGUAAUGUAUUUUUUUUUUAUAAUAUCGCAUUAAAUAAUAUAAUUUUUUUUAUUUUAAAGUAAGAUAAUUUAAGAUUAUUAGAUAAUUGAUGUAGUAAAAAUAUUUUAUUAUGUCAUAUUGACGUGGUAAUAUGAUCUAUUAUAUUAAGUUUUUGGGAAGUUUGUGAAAUUAUGCAUUAUAUAUGAUUUUUAAUAAGUGCAAUUUUUGAGGAAAAACAUGUUGAUUUAGGAAGAAUGUAAGACUCAGAAAAAAAUAAUUAUCUAAACUAGUAGUGGGCGUGAGUAUUAUUAAUUAAAAUAAUAAAAUAUAAGUAUUAUAGAAGUGAACUAUACCAUAGAUAAUUAGAGUUUUUUGUUAUAAAUUGGUGAUCAAGGAUUCAAUUCUUAUUGUGUAUAAAAUAUGUUUUAAUUAUUUUAUUAUUAUAUUAAAUGUUUGUGUGGUAUGUGUAGACCUGUCAAAUAGGCCCUUAUAAUAGACUCUGGUUCUAAUCCAUGUGGAUUGGGGCCAAAAAAGCUCAUAGGGUCAAAAAAGCCCUUUAUUAAAAUAGUCCCCAAGGUUAAAAAGCCCCAAAGUCCUGUGGAUUAGGACCAAUGGACUUUCUUUUUUACAAAAAAAAUUAAAUAUCCAACAAUAAAUUGCAUUUUUGUAGAGAAAAAGAAUAUUUAUGUUAAGUGUUAUAACUUGGAAAAUACAUGUAAGCAUAAAUGUAAGCAUCUUUCUUUUACUUUAAUAAAUAUUUUUACAUAAUUAUUAAUUAGAAAAUAAUAAAUAGNNNNNNNNNNNNNNNNNNNNNNNNNNNNNNNNNNNNNNNNNNNNNNNNNNNNNNNNNNNNNNNNNNNNNNNNNNNNNNNNNNNNNNNNNNNNNNNNNNNNNNNNNNNNNNNNNNNNNNNNNNNNNNNNNNNNNNNNNNNNNNNNNNNNNNNNNNNNNNNNNNNNNNNNNNNNNNNNNNNNNNNNNNNNNNNNNNNNNNNNNNNNNNNNNNNNNNNNNNNNNNNNNNNNNNNNNNNNNNNNNNNNNNNNNNNNNNNNNNNNNNNNNNNNNNNNNNNNNNNNNNNNNNNNNNNNNNNNNNNNNNNNNNNNNNNNNNNNNNNNNNNNNNNNNNNNNNNNNNNNNNNNNNNNNNNNNNNNNNNNNNNNNNNNNNNNNNNNNNNNNNNNNNNNNNNNNNNNNNNNNNNNNNNNNNNNNNNNNNNNNNNNNNNNNNNNNNNNNNNNNNNNNNNNNNNNNNNNNNNNNNNNNNNNNNNNNNNNNNNNNNNNNNNNNNNNNNNNNNNNNNNNNNNNNNNNNNNNNNNNNNNNNNNNNNNNNNNNNNNNNNNNNNNNNNNNNNNNNNNNNNNNNNNNNNNNNNNNNNNNNNNNNNNNNNNNNNNNNNNNNNNNNNNNNNNNNNNNNNNNNNNNNNNNNNNNNNNNNNNNNNNNNNNNNNNNNNNNNNNNNNNNNNNNNNNNNNNNNNNNNNNNNNNNNNNNNNNNNNNNNNNNNNNNNNNNNNNNNNNNGUGGGGCUAAACCCACUUUAACCCUGACCCUAACCCACUUGAGAGGGGAUUUUGGGGAUUGGGGCUUUUUUCUGGCUCCUUACUUAAGGGACUUCUUAAAAUAGGGUUUUUUCAAUAGUGAGUUAGGACUGGUCCUGGGACCAUGAGUUAAAUUGACAUCUCUAGGUAUGUUAUAUAUUUAUAUAAAUUGUUGUGCAUGAUUGUAGUAAGGAUAAUUGUGAUGAUCCGAUUAAUUUGGUAUGUUUGUUUAAAACUUAAGUGUGAUGUGUUCAUAUAUAUAUAUAUAUAUAUAUAUAUAUAUAUAUAUAUAUAUAUAUAUAUAUAUAUAUAUAUAUAUAAUUUUUCGUCAAAAUAGAAAUUGAGUUUGAAAAAUUCUUUCAUGUAAGUUUAUAUUUUUAAACAUUUUUUUAAAUUAAAAAAAUAUUAUAAAAAUACUCACACCAUUGAUAUUUGAAGCUUUCAAACUUUACAAAACCUUCCAUCAAUAGACUCAUUGAGCUUGUGUUCCUUGGACUAACUUAAUUUGACCUUAUAAUACAUUAAUAAAGGGAAUAAACUUAGUUUUUAUUUGAUAAAAACUUGUGUGACAAAAGACUUCUAUUAUUAACCUAUUUAAAAAAUAACACAAUGUUUACCAAAAUUAAUUUGAAGUUUUAUGUAAGCCAAUAACUCAGUAAAACAUAACAUAUAGUUGUGGUUACACCACAGGGAAUUUUGAAAUUGGUUUGAACUUAUUACGUAAAUCUUUUUAAAAAAAAUUUUUUUAGCAACUUUCUUUUAUAAUUUUUCUACCAUAUCUACCUAAUAAUUUAUGAUUGAUUUAUUUUAAAUAUAUAUGAACUAACAAAAUAAUAACACAUGAUUUAUUAUCAAAAAAUUACUAAAAAAAAUUCUUAACAUAAUCAACAAAUCCAAUAAAAAAAGUUCACCACUAUUAUCAUUGUAGAAAGUACAAGAGUUUCCUCUUGGUUGAAUUUAACGUUUCGAAUUCAUGACCUUAGUUUCACUCUCACAUCUUUUUCCAAUACCUCAUAUCUUUUGUUUUUUUUUUUUUUUGAAGAUCCAUAUUAGGGCUAGGGUUCAUAUAAGAACCAUUUGAAUGUUGAAUCAAGCUAGUGGUUCUAUACUAUUUACUAUUGGCCUUGUUAUAGCAAAACUUAGCAACCUAUAAUUUUGAUUAAGUGAUUAAUACAACGAAGCAUAGAAUAUGAAGAUGUGUAUGAUAGACUAUGAACAAACUAUACAGAAAAAUUGCAAGUAGCUUGUAUGAAAAAUAAUAAAGCACCAAACAUAUCUUUCACUUCGUCUGAUGACUGACUGGUGAUCAUCAAAUUAUAAGUACAAACAACCAUUAAACUAACAUAAACGUACAGAAUAUUCUUGAAACUGUUGAAGAAAAUAUGCACCAAAUACAAGUUUUAUUACAAAUACUUCUUAUCAAUCGAGUUAAAGUUGCUUUAUCAACCAACAGUCUUGAUAUAAGCAUAUUUCAACUAUGGUCUAACUUUAUCCCAAUAUGGUGUGCACUUUUACCUUAAUUUGGAAUAAAUAUCUAUACAAUCAAGGAAAAUAAGUACUAUACUAUAAAUGAUAUUGUCUGAGAAGAAGAACAAUUAAUAUAGUGAAUUUAAAGUUUCUCAACUAUCAAUGGUACUCAUAGGCUAGAAAAGGGAUUGUUGUGAUUACUUAAUCAAUUUUUCUCUUAAUAUAAUAUCAGUCAUUGUUGGAGCUUGUCUUAGCGAGAUCUAUGUGAGUAUUCUGUUCCAUCCAUUCUCGGGCCACUAUCGGACUAUCCAUUAAUUCUAUUCUCACACUCGAGAUAUUUAUACUUUAGUGUGAAGAGGAUGUAUUGGAAGUCUCAUAUCAACUAGACAUAAGGCCAAAUUAUGAUAUAUAAGUGGAGUGCAAACCUCACCUUACAAACCUGUUUUGAGAGAUUGAGUUAAGCUUAAAUUUCACUUUUUAAUAUUUGUGUUUAUUUAACAAACUGGUGAAAAGUAAUUAACCUUAUAAAUAUCAAAAGAUAUUAUCUCUCUACUGAGCAAAAAGCUAUUAUUUGAUAAUAACACAAACAUAUUAGUUUCAUUAAGCCAAAAGUGGCUUGUUAUGAAAGAAUAUUUGACAAGAUCUUUUAGCUGGGAGUGACGAAGUGUCAUAAAUACUUGGUGGGAUUAGCCAUGGAUAACUAGAAAAAUGUGAAGUUUUUAAAAGUCAAGUUGUAACAUCUUUGUCAAGUUUUUAACAUAUAUGAACCUACCAUCUAACUUCAUUUGUUUAAACAUAUUUAAAUAAUUGCAAUCAACUCUUCAUUCUUGCUCUUUUGUUUUUCACGAGCCUUCUAUGAUUUUCCAUGAUACUUGCAAAAUGCAUUGUCAUCCACCCUUCUAUAAUGAAUCAAGCCUUUGAAGUAGUCUGAGUAAGUUUUCUCGAGUCCUUUAUAUGGCUCAAAUGUCUAAAUGUAUAAGAACCUCUAACAUUGAAGGUGAUUGAUUAAACUUUUAAAUAAUACAUAUCCAGUAGGGCUUUAAAAAGAUGUUAAUAAUAGCAUGUAUCUUGACAUAUUCAUACUUCCUGUCCUAAUAUUUUUCAUCAAUUAAUAUAUAUAUAUAUAUAUAUAUAUAUAUAUAUAUAUAUAUAUAUAUAAAUAUAUAUAUAUAUAUAUAUAUAUAUNNNNNNNNNNNNNNNNNNNNNNNNNNNNNNNNNNNNNNNNNNNNNNNNNNNNNNNNNNNNNNNNNNNNNNNNNNNNNNNNNNNNNNNNNNNNNNNNNNNNNAUAUAUAUAUAUAUAUAUAUAUAUAUAUAUAUAUAUAUAUAUAUAUAAACAAAUUUAUAAGAACUCCUUUAUAUGUUUAAUUUCUACUUUAGUUAAUAAUAUAUUAUAUAAAAAUGCAUUUUCUAUAUUUUUAUGUCAAAAUACUGUGGAGAGAAAUUAAAAUAUAUUUAUACAUAAACAAAUUUGUAAGAACUCUUUAUAUGCUUAAUUUCUACUUUAGUUAAUAAUAGAUUAUAGAAAUAUUUGUCAUUUUCUAUAUUUUUAUCUCAAAAUAUUGUGGAGAGAAACUUAUCUAAACAAGCCCUUAAAAUUAGAAAUGAUAAAACAGACUAGCUCAAACCAUUUGGACUUCCCUGAAAAUAAACCCACAAAAAAUUUAAUAAAAUUGGGUUUAACGAACAAAUUAAGGAAAAUAUAAAACGUUAGUAAUAGUCUGAACUUUUAUCAGUAUUACAAAAAAGAAAUAUAUAAAGCAAACUAACAAUAAUAACAUAAUAUACUUUGAUUUUUAAAGAACAUUAAAAUAUUAAAAAGCUACAUAUUAAAAACUUUAAAUUUAAAUUCUUAAAAUAUUUUUUAUUUCAUGUAUGGUCGAAACCCACAAAAUGGAUCAUGGCAUGCUGGUGUGUUGUGUAUGGGCCAGAAAAAUAUAAGGCCAUUAGGCUCUAUGUGGAGGCGGUCAGGUCUGUUAGGCUAAGGACACCAUGAUCUUAGAAGGGGUUUUCCUAAAGUCUGGUUCAAUUUAGCUUAAACCUUUCUCUCUCUCUAAUAACAGAGUUGUUCACUUUGAGCUUUGUCUUCUCUCUAGUCUCCACCUUGAUUCCACCGUUGCAUGUUUGAUUCAGAGGUGUUCUAGCAUUCCCGGCGCAGAGAGUUUCAAAACGGACCGAACGGUUCUUCGUUUCAGUGGGUAAGACGUUUUCCCCUCUUUCUCCUGCUGUUCUUGAACUUAGGGCAUGUGAUUUUGCCUUUACAUGUGCCUUGUACGUUCUUCUUUUCAUUCCUUGUAUUGUUCUAGCUUUAAGAGUUGUUCUAUCACCAUUGGGUGGUUUGUAGGGCACUGUUUAGAUUCUUCUCUCUGGGAAGGGCACUGAAGAAUCAAGUUGUGAGCUUAAUUGUUCAACAUUCUAGGUAAGGGGAGUUAGAAUUUUUGUUUUGAAUUGGUAAAGUAAUGUGGGUUUACUGAAUUCUAAAAUUUGUUUACUGCUUGAGCUAAAUUGUUGUUACUAUGAAAGUUUAGACCAUGUGCUCUUUAAAUAAUUAAAUGUUGAAACAGUGUAUUGUUAUUUUAAUUCGAUUUUGUGAGAGUGUAAUAUGUGCUAUGGUGUAUGUUGGACUUAGGAGUUGUGAGAUCUCGAUUGCAAUUUUUAUUUGGAAGAGGGUCAGGUGCUAUGUCCUGUUUAAGAUUGUUUUAAGAAGAACUAAAAUGGUGAUUUUAACCUUUUGUAGUUAAAAGGGCCUUUGGGGGUGUUGGGGCAACCUAGACCAGCCAAUUGAAACCUGUUAGGCUCAUAAAAUUAGUCAAAAACAUGAUAAUAAUAAUAGUAGAAGUUAAAUGGGGUCCUUAGGUUGAUGAAUCAAGUGGAAAAGUAAGGUAAGUAUGCACUGUUUAGGUUGUUUUAAAGGAACCAAGGUAGCGAUUUGGUGAAAUUGAGGUCUAAGGGUCCAUAGGCUGUUAAGGUAGAGUUGGUAAGUCUAUUCUAACUUAGUAAGACAAUAAAAUUGGUUAAAAAUAGUUAUAAAGUGGCAGCUUAAGAAUUGAGGCUUUGAAUCGAUUAAAAAGAGGUUUUUGAGUAGAAACUUAGGCUUAAUCACUAAGGAAAGGGGUUAGAAAUGUUUAGAACCAUCUAGGCAAGUUUGAUUAAGUCUACACUUCGAUCUAGGAUCAUUAGAAGUUGAGGAAGAGGUCUAGAACGAAUUUCGGAGUGUUGGGUUGCCAAAAUCUGCAGAAUUUAGCUUCCCCUGCAGACAAAUUCGCUUAGCGCACAGGGAGGGGUGCGUUGAGCGAAUUAUGUGUGGCAGAUUGAGUGUUUUUUAUGUUUUUGACGUUUUGGGAGUUCCGGACGUCUAUUUUGAACGUUCUUUAGUUUGUUCUGGGGGUUUUUUGACCCUUCCGGAGCCAAUGGUGAGGGUCUCGAAGCUUUUUAAAUUACGUAAGUGUUGGUAAUAAUUGCUAUAAAGAAAUUUGUGUUAAUAAGUGAUGCUUCUGUGAAAAUAUGUAAUGUCUGAGUAUGUAUGAGUUGUUUUUAUGACAUGGCUAAAGAUUGUGAUAUAUCGACAUGUACAAUUAUGAAUGGAAAAUGUCGAAAUAGAGUUCAAGGAGGAACUUCUUGCUGAUGUCAUGUUAAGUAUUAUGUGUGUAGCAAUGUAUGUUUAUAUACUUGAAUUGAAUGGCUUGAUUGAGGUUGAAUUGAACAUCUCAGGAAAAAAUGAUUGGGAAUGAUUGUAGAGAUAGUGUUGUUGUAUGUAUAACUGUUGAGAACUUUGAAAUGGUAUGUCUAUCCCCACACUCAAAGCAUUGUUCAUACUCAAAUAUAAAAGAACAAUGUGAGUGGUGAGAGUAGAGGGAGGUCCUUGUCUAUAGUCUUGGAGUUUAGACAUAGACAGAUUGGGGAGACUUACCUUGCAUACUAUUGAGGAUGGGCUAGCUAAACUAUGCAAGUGCAAAGACAACCAACAACUAGACAGGUUAUACCAAAUCCGGAUGAGUCACGUUGAGUAUUUGAUGCAUGUUUUAAUUGGUAUACCCUUCUUGUUCUUUUUAUAUGUAAUUAAGCAUGAUGACAUUGAUUGACUGUACUAUAUGUAUGUUGUUUGUUUACCUAGCUCACCCUUACUUUUGUGUUGUAUGUUGCUUGAAUAUGUUUUCUUUUACGAUGAUCACUCACUUGAAUGGAAGCAGAAGUCGUUGAGGAGCUCCCCUUGGAACAAGAGUUGGAAGAUGUUGAUGCUUAGUUUAUUAGUAUUUCUAUAUUUCAAUUUAUGUCAUUUUUGAAUACUCUGAUAUUUGUAUCACUUUGAUAUAUCCUUUUUGUCUAAAUUUAUAUUUAAACCUUUUUUUAAGGUUUAAAUUCUGAUAUUUUUUUAUGACCGUAAACUUUAAGACUUAUUUACAAAUUUAUUUCUAAAAUGUUCUCUUUUAUUUGGAUGACGACGCCUAUAUUAUAUGAUUAUUAUUAUUAUAUAUUUGUAAUGUCACAAAUUGAAUCUCAAAUUGAAUCUCCUGACCCAAAGAACCACUUUUCUAUCCUACUUAAAAACUCAUGCCGUUGUUGAUUGAUAUACAUUUGGAAAUAAAGGAAAAGCUAUUGGGACAUGUUUCAUUAAAAUGAUUACAAAAUUGAGAAGUUGCAUAUAUACAGAUGGUAGUACCAAGACAUCAUUGGGAAACUUGUAUUCACAAAAGCUUCAAUUGGCUUUUGCCAAUAAAAAUGAUUUCUAUCCCGAUUAUCUAGAGUAAUAAUACAUUCACUAAUCUAGUAAAAUAAAAAUAAACUGUUUCUCUGCACAUGAGAAAGUAAAAGAAAAAAGGAAAAGGAGGGGAAAGUACAAAGGACCCAAGAGACGAUCCUAUACAAAAAGACCUCUAUACUCGUCUCUUUUCCAAAAACCAAAAUGGGGGGUCAACCUUCUAAGAAGACUAUUAAUAUACAAGAUUUGCCAAACAAGAACAUGAUUAGCCAUGAUGCCUGCCAAUAUAACUUCGGUUAGUACAUCAACAGGACCUAUCCAGAAACAACGAAUAUUUGUUUCCAUAUUCCACAGUCCCCAUGAAUAAUCAGCUUCAUCUGCAAAAAACCCCACAAAUGAGGGCUGUUUUUCUUUUGUCAUCUUACAGAAAAAAAUAGACAAGUCCGCCUACAAAGAAAACUUACCGUCACUGGAUUCAUGAGAAAACUAAACACGGAUAAGACCGCAGUAUGAAUAAAUAUGAACAAAUAAAUUACUUACAUGACACUAAUUUCUAUACAUAUGAACAAAUAUCAUUAAUAAUGAAUUCAAAAAUACAUUUCUGCUAAGAUAUGUAAUCAUGAUAAUCGAUAAAACCAUUGACAUGCCUUGGCGAGUUAGCUAAUGACAUGAUAUGACAGCCUCUUUAACUAAGUGGUGAGGAGUUAACAGCUUUCAAACUCCUGACGUGAUACAAACUCCUGACGUGAUAAACCUAAGGUUUUGUUUCCCUAUUGAUAGACGUCUACUAGAGGAGGAUACUGUGUUUACGUUGGGAGAAAACAUUAUUUCAUGGAAAAAUAUAUAGAAUGUAAUAGCUCGAUCAACAACUGAAACUGAAUAUAGAGCGAUGGUGUCACUCACAUGUAAACUUAUAUGGGUGAAACAAUUCCUUCAAUAGCUUAAUUUCUGUAACAUCCAUAAUAUGAAGAUGUAUUACGAUAAUCAAGCUGCUCUCCACAUUGCAUCAAAUCCAAUGUUUCACGAGAGGACUAAACAUAUAAAAAUUGAUUGUCAUUUUGUUUGUGAAAAGUUGUUAGGUUCCAGAAUUGAGAACCUAAUUCCCGCACUCUCUUCCUCUCCAAGAAACACAGAAAGAUUGGGAAAUUUGAAUAUUAUUCACAAUAUAAUGUCUGUACAGAAAGAAUGUAGCGGCAUAACCCUCUUUCACAAGUAUGACCCUGUUAAGCAACUACAACAAUCAACAACCUUCACCCCUUCUACCCAGCCUUUAUUUAUACAAUCUCACUUACCCACAACUAACUGUCCUAGACAAUUAGUUUGUUACAUUCAGUUACGCUUAUUCCUCCUCUCAUAAACUAGCCAUCUUUUCUUAUUCCUAUCAAAAGUUGUUGACUGAAGAAAUAUGUACUGAGUUUGUUGGGUCAAACGAUCAACUCGCAAAUGUGUUGACCAAGUCAUUAAGGAGUUCUCGGAUUGAGUUUAUUUGUUCCAAGCUUGGUACAUACAAUUUGUAUGCUCCAGCUUGAGGACAAGUGUUAGGUAUAUUAUAUAUUUAUCUUUUAUCUUUAAUUAGGUUGUUAUUAUUUCUUAUUUGUACUUUCGACUUAACCUAUAUUUCUUCUAUUAUAAAUAAAGGACCCUAUGUGUAUAUUCAACAUAAAAGAGAUUAAUCUUAUAUUCAACUGGUUUCACAAAAGGAAGAGAGACUUGAUAACUUGGUAUGACUAGAUUUACAUUCUUAUUUUCGUUUGAAUAAAAUAUUUUUUAUUGUUUUUAAGUAACCUUUUUUCGCAUUAAUGUUUUCUUUUAAUACUAAAACAUCAGUAUGUUGUAUGUGAUCCCAACUAUGUUAACACCAGCAUCAAUCAUAUGUAGCACCUUAGAAUAUAUAUAAAAAAAAAAACAAAAAAAAAGGAGGAAAAUACAAAAUAUAGCCGGGGUACAAAACCUGGCCCACUAACCUUAACCGUGUAAAAUAAAAAAUCAAAUCCAUCCCUGAAAAACUCAGGACAAUGGCUACCCUCUAUAAAAUAUUAGAAAAAAAAAAAGAACACAUAGUACUACUCUUUACAAAAAAAAUCAACCAUCUACAAGUAAGAUCCCGAAGUAUCGAGUUGAGCUUGAAUAACAUGUGAGAGUCACACUCAAUAGAAAGAUUUAUCCAUGCUUUGAAGAUAGUAACCUUGUGUAGCAUUAAUGAUAUAAACUAUAGUUGGUUCUUUCACCGUUCACUUUAAGUUAACUAUGGUACCAUGUGUGAAGUGAGAAACAAACUUAAAUUUUUCUGACACAAGAAGAAAUUAUAUUAAAAAUUGAAACUAAUAAGGUAUCCUAGCUGUCAAAUUCUAGGAAAGAGACAGUUGAAACCAUGUGUUUCUGAGACAACAUGAAUGUUUAAUUUAUAUCGAAAAAACAGAAUCAAUACAAUUAUCAAGAAGAUUUAAUAUCCUCUAGUAAUAUGAGAAUAAUUAAAAAUAUUCCAAAUAAAACAAAAAAUUUAGAUAUUCCUUAUUAUAUAGGACCUGUUCUGUAAUUUUAUAAUUAUAACACUAAUAACUGUCAUUCUUCCAGCGGUUUGAUAAAAUUAUUCACAAAUUAACCUUUUUAAUAGACUUUUCCUGGUUCCAAUUAAAUUAGUUUCUGGGUAGUGGAUUCUGAGUAAUGUUCUAAAAUGAUACUUAGCACGCCAAUUUAUUCCUUUCUCACAUUACCAUUCAACACACUCUACAACAGCAAUAAUUUCUAAGAAAAAUCUGCAGAUAUUGUAAACAAAGUCAAUCAAUUACUAUUACGAUCAUUCAGGAAAAAGCUUUCAUGUAUGACGAAUGUGUUUUAUAUGACUUGAUAUCUAAAAGAGAAAAAUAUAAUUCUAAAGGGCUUAAAAGACCCUUCUCAUGUUCUAUUAUUUAUAUAGAUGAAGAUUUGAUACAAUAGAGAGAUGGAAGAUGAAGGUAUUGUCCUAGACUGCUAGGAACAAUCAUUAUAGAUAAACCAACACACAAUUCCCUACUUUAGGCUCUACUAACUAUACUAAUCAUAGGUAAACGUAAUAAUUAUUCUAACACUCCCCCUCAAGCUGGAAUAUACAGAUCGUAUGUACCAAGCUUGGAACAAAUAAACUUAAUCCGAGAUCCCCUUAACGACUUAGUCAAAACAUCUGCGAGUUGGUCAUUUGAUCCAACAAACUCAGUACAUAUUUCCUUUGACAAUAAUUUUUCCCGAACAAAAUGAUAAUCAAUUUUUAUAUGUUUGGUUCUCUCGUGAAACACUGGAUUUGAUGCAAUGUGAAGAGCAGCUUGGUUAUCACAAUACAUCUUCAUACUCUGGAUGUCACAGAAGCGAAGCUCUUGAAGGAACUGCUUCACCCAUAUAAGUUCACAUGUUAAUGAAGCCAUUGCUCUAUAUUCAGCUUCAGCUGUUGAUCGAGCCACUACAUUUUGCUUCUUACUUUAUCAUGAGAUAAUGUUUCCUUCAAGGAAAACACAAUAUCCAGUAGUGGAUCGUCUAUUAAUAGGAGAAUCCGCCCAAUCAGCAUCACAAUAACCUGAUACUUGAAGGCUUCCUUUUUCUUCAUAUAACAGCCCUUGCCUGGGAGCCUUUUUCACAUACCUUAAAAUGCGAAUGAUAGCAUUCCAAUGGCCAACACAUGGAGCUUGCAUGAACUGACUAACCACUCCAACUGCAAAAGAUAGAUCUAGCCUUGUAAUAGUGAGAUAUAUUAGUUUUCCAACUAGCCUCCUAUAUCUCUCCGGGGUCGGAGAAUAACUCACCUUCUUAUGUUGUUAAUUUCUGAUUUGGAUCCAUAGGGCUAUCAACCGGUCUACAAUCAAUCAUGCCUGUUUCUUGCAAAAUAUCCAAAGCAUACUUCCUUUGGGAGAUUACAACUCCAUCUUUUGACUAAGCUACUUCAAUGCCUAGGAAGUAUUUGAGACUCUCAAGAUCCUUGGUUUGGAAAUGUCUACACAAGUACUCCUUCAAUUGAGAUAUUCCAGCAGUAUCAUUUCCUGUAAUAACUAUAUCAUCAACAUAUACUAUCAAGUAAACACAUUUACCGAGAGAUGAAUGAUAUUAAAAGACUGAAUGAUCUGUUUCACUGCGUUUUAGCCCAAAUUUUUGAACAAUGGAGCUGAACUUUCCAAACCAAGCACGUGGUGAUUGCUUGAGCCCAUAUAGAGAUCGGCUCAAUUUACAAACCAUACCAGACUCCCCCUGAGCAACAAACCCAGGAGGUUGCUCCAUAUAAACUUCUUCCACAAGAUCACCAUGAAGAAAGACGUUUUUGAUAUCCAACUGAUGAAGUGGCCAAUGACGAAUGGCUGCCAUUGCAAAGAACAAACGAAUGGUAGUCAUCUUUGCCACGGGAUAAAAGGUGUCACAAUAAUCAAGACCAUAAACCUGAGUGUACCCUUUUGCAACCAGCCGGGCUUUGAGCCUAUCAAUGUCACCAUUAGGGCCGACUUUAAUUGCAUAUACCCAUCGACAACCAACAGCCUUUUUGCCCGGGGGAAGUGGCACAAGCUCCCAAGUAUGACUGUGGUCAAGAGCAUGCAUUUCUUCAAUCAUGGCUUGUCGCCAUCCAAGAUGAUCAAGUGCUUCUCUCACAUUUUUAGGUAUAACCACAGGUGAUACUGAGGAUAAAAGGGAAUAAAAGGAGGGCGAAACUCUGUGAUAGCUAAGAAAAUUAUAAAUGGGAUGAGGGUUUCGAGUGGAACGAGUACCUUUUCUGAGAGCAAUGGGCCAACCAGAAUCAUCUUCACCAGGAGGCGUGACAGGANAUGGUGACGGAGNAGAAUCUGAAGGAGGAGAUCCANCAUUUUCUGGAAGAGNAUUACUCAUCGGGGUACUGUGUUGAAGGAUAUCAGUAUGUGGAGAGGAAGGUUCGGGAGGACCUUGGACAUGACUUGGAUUGACGGAGGCAUUGGAGAUAUUAGACUCAACUACUGGAAGAGGAAGGACCUGGUGGAGGAUAUGAACAUCUUGAGCAGAUGGAGAGAAGAAAGGUGUUUGUUCAAAGAAGGUAACAUUAGCAGACAUGUAAUACUUCUUAGUUUCAGGAGAGUAACACCGGUACCCUUUUUGAAGUCGAGAAUAGCCCAAAAAGACAUAUUUAAUCGCACGAGCAGAGAGCUUGUUGAGCCCGGGAGACAUGUCGUGAACAAAACAAACACAACCAAAGACACGAGGAGAGGUGUGAAAGAGAGAAUCAUUGGGAAAGAGAAUGGAGAAAGGGACUUUAUUAUUGAGAGAGGAGGAGGGCAUCCUAUUAAUAAGAAAACAUGCAGUUAAGAUGGCAUCCCCCAGUGAUGAACAGGAAUAUGAGCACCAAGCAAAAGGGUACGAGCUGUUUCAACCAAGUGUCUAUUUUUUCUUUCGGCUAUACCAUUUUGCUGGGGUGUAUGAGGACAAGUGGACUGAUGCAAAAUACCAUGGGAGCUAAGAAGUGAGGAAAAAGUUGAUGAGAAAUACUCUUUAGCAUUAUCACUUCUUAAGACUUUAAUUACUUGACCAAAUUGGUUCUUGAUUUCAUUCAAAAAGGAUGUGAAAAUAGGUAACAAUUCAGAGCGAUCUUUCAUUAGGUAAACCCAAGUACAUCUAGAAUACUCAUCAAUAAAAGUAACAAAAUACCUAAAACCAAAAGAAGAGACACGACUAGGUCCCCAGACAUUAGAAUGAAUAAUAGAAAAACUAGAAGUACACAUUGAUUGGGACCUUUUAGGAAAGACAGAUCUAACAUGUUUUCCUAGUUGACAGGACUCACAUUCUAAAGUCUGAAGACCACUAAGUUCAGGAUACAAAAUUUUGAACUUUGACAAGUGAGGAUGGCCAAACCGAUCAUGUAACACUUUAGGGGGAAGAGCUGCAACACAAGAUACCCGUGGACGAGAUCCAAAAUGAUAUAAACCUCCAGCUUCGUAUCCUUCUCCAAUCUGCCUCCCCGAGCCACGCUCCUGUAUAACAAAAGAUUUUGAAUCAAAAGUUAUUGAACAAUGAAACAUUUUGGUUAACUGACUUAGGGAAAUUAAAUUGAAUGGACAGUUAGGGACAAAAAGAACAGAUUUCAAAGUUAGAGAGGGAGAUAGGAAGACUUGACCGACUCCCUUUGAACAAGUUUUAGAGCCAUUUGCAAGGGUAAUGAAAUGGGGUUUUUCUUGGAGGCAAAGGGUCGAGAAGAAUGAGGUAUUACCAGAAAUGUGAUCAGAAGCACCCGAGUCAAUUACCCAUGAAUUUCGACCUUCCAUGGAUUGAGAAAUGCAAGCUGUGGACGUACUUGUGGACUGAGAUGAUUGCGCCAAGCUGUUAGACUUUAACCGCAGAUAUUCUUGAUACUCUUCCUCAGUGAACUUGGAGUUGGAAGUGGAAGUUUCAGCCUUAGACAUAUUAGCGGUUUUUGAAGGAAAGCCAUGCAAAGAGUAGCAGUUUUCUUGGGUGUGACCCACCCUCUUA